rnacentral:rRNA from 1 species
ACUCAAAGGAAUAGACGGGGACCCGCACAAGCAGUGGAGUAUGUGGUUUAAUUCGAAGCAACGCGAAGAACCUUACCAGGUCUUGACAUCCCCUUGAAUACAUUGGAGACAGUGUAGGCCUUUCGGGGACAAGGGAGACAGGUGGUGCAUGGUUGUCGUCAGCUCGUGUCGUGAGAUGUUGGGUUAAGUCCCGCAACGAGCGCAACCCUUGAUCUUAGUUGCCAGCAGGUCAAGCUGGGCACUCUAAGGUGACUGCCGGUGACAAACCGGAGGAAGGCGGGGAUGACGUCAAAUCAUCAUGCCCCUUAUGACCUGGGCUACACACGUACUACAAUGGCCGGUACAACGGGCCGCGAAACCGCAAGGUGGAGCCAAUCCCAGAAAAGCCGGUCUCAGUUCGGAUUGCAGGCUGCAACUCGCCUGCAUGAAGUCGGAAUUGCUAGUAAUCGCGGAUCAGCAUGCCGCGGUGAAUACGUUCCCGGGUCUUGCACACACCGCCCGU